rnacentral:lncRNA from 1 species
CAAUGCUUUUUCCAUCAAAGACUAAGGAACAGUUCACAAAGAUUCCUCUCAUAAAUCCAGAUCAUCAAAAUCCCAACUUAAAAACUGCUUUCUCUUUUUUUCAGAUUUCAGACUAGGACUCAAAGGGGAAAAAGGAGACCCAGGAGAAUCGAUCAGAGGACCACCAGGACCACCAGGUCCACCGGGACCACCAGGUCCGCCUUUCUCGGGCGGCGAGCACAGCGAGGACAUCGGGUCGGGAGAUGACGAGAAAAUCAAGGAUUUAAUCGUUAAGCUCCUUCCUGCCAAUAAAGAGUUUGACGGUAGACGUGGACUAGUCGGGCCACCAGGGCCUCCUGGAACAUGUGCCUGCAACUUGACAACUCUUUUCGGUUCGAACAACAUACCAAAGCUCCUGCCAGGUCCUCCAGGAAUUCCCGGAAUAGAUGGCAAAGCUGGACCUCCAGGGACACCGGGAUUACCGGGACCUCCUGGAGAGCAAGGAGCAACCGGUCUUCCUGGCGAAAAAGGUGAUCGUGGAGAUGUGGGGCUCAAGGUCCAGAAGGGAUCCAAGGAUCUAAAGGUAUCAAUUUGAGUUCCUAAUUUGAAGAUUUGCUCCGAUUUAAUGGGUGUCAGCCUGAC